CUACGUGCCAGCAGCCGCGGUAAUACGGAGGGUGCGAGCGUUAAUCGGAAUAACUGGGCGUAAAGGGCACGCAGGCGGUGACUUAAGUGAGGUGUGAAAGCCCCGGGCUUAACCUGGGAAUUGCAUUUCAUACUGGGUCGCUAGAGUACUUUAGGGAGGGGUAGAAUUCCACGUGUAGCGGUGAAAUGCGUAGAGAUGUGGAGGAAUACCGAAGGCGAAGGCAGCCCCUUGGGAAUGUACUGACGCUCAUGUGCGAAAGCGUGGGGAGCAAACAGGAUUAGAUACCCUGGUAGUCCACGCUGUAAACGAUGUCGAUUUGGGGGUUGAACUAUAAGUUUGGCGCCCGUAGCUAACGUGAUAAAUCGACCGCCUGGGGAGUACGGCCGCAAGGUUAAAACUCAAAUGAAUUGACGGGGGCCCGCACAAGCGGUGGAGCAUGUGGUUUAAUUCGAUGCAACGCGAAGAACCUUACCUACUCUUGAC
rnacentral:rRNA from 1 species